GCAUUAAUGGGUAGUGGUAACCUGGGUCGUUGCCACAGAUGACAUCAUCGCUUGUCGUCGACCCGCCGGGGGUUCGAUUCCCUCUUAAUGCA